rnacentral:rRNA from 1 species
AGAGUUUGAUCAUGGCUCAGAACGAACGUUGGCGGCGUGGAUUAGGCAUGCAAGUCGUGCGAGAAAGUCACCUUCGGGUGGCGAGUACAGCGGCGAACGGGUGAGUAACGCGUGGGGAACCUGCCUUCUGGAGGGGGAUAACACUUCUAACGAGGUGCUAAUACCGCAUGAUAUCUCUUGAUCACAUGUUCAAGAGAUCAAAGAUGGCCUCUGAUUUAAGCUAUUACCAGAUGAUGGCCCCGCGUCCGAUUAGCUUGUUGGUGGGGUAACGGCCUACCAAGGCAUCGAUCGGUAGCUGGUCUGAGAGGAUGGUCAGCCACACUGGGACUGAGAUACGGCCCAGACUCCUACGGGAGGCAGCAGUCGAGAGGCUUCGGCAAUGGGGGAAACCCUGACCGAGCGACGCCGCGUGAGGGAUGACGCUCUUCGGGGUGUAAACCUCUUUUUCAGGGGAAGAAACCUCUAUGGUCUAAUACGCCAUAGAAUUGACGGUACCUUGAGAAUAAGCUCCGGCUAACUCCGUGCCAGCAGCCGCGGUAAUACGGGGGGAGCAAACGUUGUUCGGAAUUACUGGGCGUAAAGGGCGCGUAGGCGGUCCCGCAAGUGGUGUGUGAAAUGCCCUGGCUCAACCAGGGAACUGCGCACCAAACUGCGGGACUUGAGGGCAGUAGAGGAAGCUGGAAUUCCAGGUGUAGCGGUGAAAUGCGUAGAUAUCUGGAGGAACAUCGUUGGCGAAGGCGAGCUUCUGGGCUGUUUCCUGACGCUGAGGCGCGAAAGCUGGGGGAGCAAACAGGAUUAGAUACCCUGGUAGUCCCAGCUGUAAACGGUGAACACUAGGUGUGGGGGGUGUCGACCCUUUCCGUGCCGAAGCUAACGCAUUAAGUGUUCCGCCUGGGGAGUACGGUCGCAAGGCUGAAACUCAAAGGAAUUGACGG